AGCUUUGUUCAGUGGCAGUAGCUUAGCCAAUGAGGUUUAUCUACAGCACAAUUAUUGCUAAUUGAAAACUUUUCCCAAUACCCCACAUGACGACUUGAAAUAUGGUCGGCAUUGGUAAUUUUUGACAGUCUCUAUGGAGA